rnacentral:rRNA from 2 species
CUCAGGCGAACGCUGGCGGCGUGCCUAAUACAUGCAAGUCGAACGAAACUUUCUUACACCGAAUGCUUGCAUUCACCGUAAGAAGUUGAGUGGCGGACGGGUGAGUAACACGUGGGUAACCUGCCUAAAAGAAGGGGAUAACACUUGGAAACAGGUGCUAAUACCGUAUAUCUCUAAGGAUCGCAUGAUCCUUAGAUGAAAGAUGGUUCUGCUAUCGCUUUUAGAUGGACCCGCGGCGUAUUAACUAGUUGGUGGGGUAACGGCCUACCAAGGUGAUGAUACGUAGCCGAACUGAGAGGUUGAUCGGCCACAUUGGGACUGAGACACGGCCCAAACUCCUACGGGAGGCAGCAGUAGGGAAUCUUCCACAAUGGACGCAAGUCUGAUGGAGCAACGCCGCGUGAGUGAAGAAGGUCUUCGGAUCGUAAAACUCUGUUGUUAGAGAAGAACACGAGUGAGAGUAACUGUUCAUUCGAUGACGGUAUCUAACCAGCAAGUCACGGCUAACUACGUGCCAGCAGCCGCGGUAAUACGUAGGUGGCAAGCGUUGUCCGGAUUUAUUGGGCGUAAAGGGAACGCAGGCGGUCUUUUAAGUCUGAUGUGAAAGCCUUCGGCUUAACCGGAGUAGUGCAUUGGAAACUGGAAGACUUGAGUGCAGAAGAGGAGAGUGGAACUCCAUGUGUAGCGGUGAAAUGCGUAGAUAUAUGGAAGAACACCAGUGGCGAAAGCGGCUCUCUGGUCUGUAACUGACGCUGAGGUUCGAAAGCGUGGGUAGCAAACAGGAUUAGAUACCCUGGUAGUCCACGCCGUAAACGAUGAAUGCUAGGUGUUGGAGGGUUUCCGCCCUUCAGUGCCGCAGCUAACGCAAUAAGGCAUUCCGCCUGGGGAGUACGACCGCAA